rnacentral:rRNA from 1 species
GAUGAACGCUGGCGGCGUGCCUAAUACAUGCAAGUCGAGCGAACAGAUGAGGAGCUUGCUCCUCUGACGUUAGCGGCGGACGGGUGAGUAACACGUGGAUAACCUACCUAUAAGACUGGGAUAACUUCGGGAAACCGGAGCUAAUACCGGAUAAUAUAUUGAACCGCAUGGUUCAAUAGUGAAAGACGGUUUUGCUGUCACUUAUAGAUGGAUCCGCGCCGCAUUAACUAGUUGGUAAGGUAACGGCUUACCAAGCCAACGAUGCGUAGCCGACCUGAGAGGGUGAUUGGCCACACUGGAACUGAGACACGGUCCAGACUCCUACGGGAGGCAGCAGUAGGGAAUCUUCCGCAAUGGGCGAAAGCCUGACGGAGCAACGCCGCGUGAGUGAUGAAGGUCUUCGGAUCGUAAAACUCUGUUAUUAGGGAAGAACAAAUGUGUAAGUAACUAUGCACGUCUUGACGGUACCUAAUCAGAAAGCCACGGCUAACUACGUG